rnacentral:rRNA from 1 species
UACGAAGGGGGCUAGCGUUGCUCGGAAUCACUGGGCUUAAAGGGCGCGUAGGCGGGUUCUCAAGUCCGGGGUGAAAUCCCACAGCUCAACUGUGGAACUGCCUCGGAUACUGGGUGCCUCGAGGGUGGUAGGGGUAUGCGGAACUAUCGGUGGAGCGGUGAAAUGCGUUGAUAUCGAUAGGAACUCCGGUGGCGAAGGCGGCAUACUGGACCACAUCUGACGCUGAGGCGCGAAAGCCAGGGGAGCGAACGGG